GUCUUCUCGUGAGGGGUUGAGAAGUCGGACCUGCCCAGUGACUAUUUUGUUUAACGGCCGCGGUAUACUGACUGUGCAAAGGUAGCAUAAUCAUUAGUUCUUUAAUAGGGAACUGGUAUGAAUGGUUUGACGAAAUAAUAUCUGUCUCAGCUUUAAAUUUAAAAUUUAUCUUUUAAGUCAAAAGACUUAAAUUUUAUUGGAAGACGAGAAGACCCUAUAGAGCUUUAUAUACUUUCUGUAUAUCUCCUAUUAUUAGAUUUAUUUAGACUGUUUAUUUUGUUGGGGUGAUUAUUAAAUAUAAAUAACUUUAUUAUUAAUUUUACAUUUAUUUAUGAUUAAAUAGAUCCUUUAUUAUUGAUUAUUAGACUAAGUUACCUUAGGGAUAACAGCGUUAUUUUCUUUUAGAGUUCAAAUUUACAAGAAAGAUUGCGACCUCGAUGUUGGAUUAAGAUAAUGGUUUGGUGCAGAAGCUUAAUUAAUAGGUCUGUUCGACCUUUAAAUUCUUACAUGAUCUGAGUUCAAACCGG
rnacentral:rRNA from 1 species